rnacentral:rRNA from 1 species
CAGCAGCCACGGGAAUACAGAGGGUGCGAGCGUUAAUCGGAUUUACUGGGCGUAAAGCGUGCGUAGGCGGCUUCUUAAGUCGGAUGUGAAAUCCCUGAGCUCAACUUAGGAAUUGCAUUCGAUACUGGGAAGCUAGAGUAUGGGAGAGGAUGGUAGAAUUCCAGGUGUAGCGGUGAAAUGCGUAGAGAUCUGGAGGAAUACCGAUGGCGAAGGCAGCCAUCUGGCCUAAUACUGACGCUGAGGUACGAAAGCAUGGGGAGCAAACAGGAUUAGAUACCCGGGUAGUCCCUGUCUCUUAUAC